UACGAAGGGGGCUAGCGUUGUCCGGAAUACUGGGCGUAAAGCGUGCGCAGGCGGUUUUGUAAGCCAGAUGUGAAAUCCCCGGGCUUAACCUGGGAACUGCAUUUGGGACUGCAAGGCUUGAGUGCGGCAGAGGAGACUGGAAUUCCUGGUGUAGCAGUGAAAUGCGUAGAUAUCAGGAGGAAUACCGAUGGCGAAGGCAGGUCUCUGGGCUGACACUGACGCUCAUGCACGAAAGCGUGGGAGC
rnacentral:rRNA from 1 species